rnacentral:lncRNA from 1 species
UGGGUUCUCUGCCUUUGCCAAGACAUUGGCUGGAGGAACGAGAGGCUCUGACUGCGCGAACAGAAUUCGGAACUCCUCAUCGAAGCUGGCCACCAGCUCGCCCUGGAAGAUGUGUGCAAUGCUCCUGUGAAUCUUCUCAAAAGACCACAUAAAACUGUAGUUGCCACUCAGCACCACCAUGCAGUCCACCAAGAGGAAUUUCUCUUUCACGUGUCCUUUG